CAAAAAAAGAAACACGCGCAAUUUUGAUGCGUUUAGUGCUGGCAAAAUGUCGAUAUUUGCCGGCAAUCGUUAAGUCAAGUGGCAACGCUAUGCACGAAUUCAUCAGCUGUUCAGGAACAGCGUUGCCUGACAUUUCAAAUGGCUAGAAAACUUAAAUACUUCUUGUACGUUAUAAAAUCAAUAGGUUUAUAAAUAGAAAGGACGACAAACCGGAUGAUAAGGAUUAGUCCUGGCCGUUAUAACAACUAAUGAUGCAAGCGGCGAAUUCAAGUCGUUUUGAAAAUUCUCUGACAGUGUUUUCGAACACUAUCUGAAGACUUGGGCAAAAACAGAGGACCAAAAAAACAAAAUUACAUAAUAUAUUGUGGACAAUUAAAAUCAAAAUAAAAA
rnacentral:sRNA from 1 species